UAUAGCCGUUAGGGGUGCAUUCCGAAAGUGGAAGCUGAGAAAAAACCCUUAAACCUGAUCUGGAUAAUACUAGCGUAGGGAAACGGAUGAAAGAGUAA
rfam:Ignavibacteria bacterium RBG_16_35_7 RBG_16_scaffold_11467, whole genome shotgun sequence.